rnacentral:lncRNA from 1 species
AAAUAUAGAGCAUCUCAUUCUCCUCAAAAAGCUUCAAAGUGCAAGAAAGGUAUGUAUCCCCUAAAAAGAGCAAAAGUAGAAUUAGACUUUCACCAUUGUUAUCACCAUCGUCACCAUACACCAUUCACUCGCCACACAUGCACAUCUUGAUUUGACUUAUUGACUUGUUCUUCUGGAUCCACGGUUUGACUAUGCAAUAAAUGUCUUGUAAGUAUGUAUUAUCUGUCUCCCACCUAUGAGCUCCAGAUAUCAAAACCUUAUUAGAGU